rnacentral:lncRNA from 1 species
CAGCUAUGUGCAUUGCGGAAAGGCCAUGUGAAGCUGGCCUUCUGCAAACCAGAAAGAGAGCCUCACCAGAAACGGACUCUGCCUGACCUUGAUCUGGGACUUCCAGCCUCCAGAGCUGUGAGAGAGAAAGUUCUGCAGUUUAAGCUGCCGGGUCUAUGGUAAUUUGUUAUGGGAGCCUGAGCUGCCUAAUACGGGCUCCUACUCUGUCAAAGUUAUUACCAUGCACAGGUCUACAGUGGUGUUCAACUCAGAUGUGGUCCCUGCCCUCUUGGAGUUUACGACAUGGUGCCACCACUACCAAGAUCUAUUAGAAAUAGGACUUAGGAAAUGCCUUGCCAAAAGCAUUGAAGAGGUAUGGACCUACAGUUAUUGCAACAGAGAGAUUGUUGGUUUCCUUGUAACUUCCGUAGUUUCCUCCCUCCAUAGCAACGGGACCACAAUUCUUAGUGAGAGAUGACAGAAGUUUGGACUAGCAUUGUGGUGGUGGAGAGGAAGAAAUGUGGUGAACAGGAGAGGUGCCUAGAAGAAUGGAAAUAACAUAAGCCAUGUCUGAUUUUUGAAAGUAUAAACUGAAGUAUGAAAAAGGUGAGGGACCCUUCACUGCAUCAAGACUUAGAGUUAGAACCAGACAUAAUGAGACAACUGGAAAGCCAGCUAGAAGAAAGUUUACAAGACUAUGACCUCAAACUAUAAUCUUCAAAGAGGAAAAGAGAUAAAUUAAGAAAACAACUUGU